rnacentral:lncRNA from 1 species
GCGGGUACCCGCCGCGGUGGCGGCCCCGGCGCUGGGGCUCCUGGCGUGACGGCGGCGGCGGCGGCUGCUGCUACAGCUCCGGGCGCCCAGGCCGCGCGUGGCUGCUCCAAAUCCCCGGGAAAUGCCUGACUCAUACAGGAGGAAGAGGAGGAGGAGGCGAAGGAGAGCUGGGAAGGAAGCCAAAGGGGCUGGAUGCAGCUGCGGCCGCCCCUCCUCCCGCCGCGGCCCCGGCCCCGGCCCCUCCCUCCGCACUAGUUUCCCUGGCAAGUUCGGAGCGGGCGGCGGGUUCGACGAGCCCUCCUCGGGUUCCUCCUCCUCUUCUUUUGCGUCCUAACUCAGGGACUAGCUGGGGGCGCUCCCCGCCGCCGAUGCGCAGGGUGGGCACGCCCUAAGUCCACACCCUGUUACCCCUCGCGUUCCUUCUGCCGCCCCCUCUCGGAUCGGAAGGGGCAAAAGGCAAUCUCUGCGCGUCACUCCCCAGCCCCAACCCACCUCCGGACCUGGAGGGAGGGGCGGCCCCACCCACCCAGGCCACCCGGAUAUGGACCCGCCCGGCCUAACGCUGGCACCCAGGCACGCUCCUUCUGUCUUCCGCACCAAGCCUGGGCCAGACACACGUACACCGGUAACCUGGAACUUAAUCUCCCUGGCAGAGCAAAGUGACUGGGCAGGGAGGUCCUCCAGGUUUUCCGGUGUGUCCGGGAGGGGAAGGGGAGGACAUAUGAUUUUCACAGCCCGGCCAGAAGGACCUAGAAUGGGUAGAGGAAAUGUCUUCCUCCCCUACAGCUUCUACCCUUCCCUCCACAAGGCUUCCCGCUCACAAAGGGCUAGAAGCCAGAACAAAGGAAAUGAUCAUGGAAAUUCAUCUUGAUGCAAAGCAUUUUUUUUGCCCCCAAAAGAAAAGGAAUAUGAGGAAAGUCCUCACCAUCAAGUUAGACUCCCCAUCAGCAUAUCUCACCACUGGGGCUUAGCUCUGUCAAAUGAAAACUUCUCACAAAAUGUUCCACAGGGGCGCUGAGCCGGUUGAUUUCUCACCAGCAAGGGAGCACUGUGAACGGCCAGAAUCGGAGCAGACGGCUGUCCCCAAGUGUUGGCUUUAUUUACAAUUUGGAAAGGGAACUUCACAACUAUAUUAACUGGGGAUUGCAUGGAUUGAGACGCUUCAUUCUGUCAUCAGCAGAGCUCAUAAGCAAAUUCCAAUCCCCUGAUCGGUCUCUUUCAUUGGAUGUUUUUCAAGAAUUUUGAUUCGCACUACCAAAUAUGGUCUUUUAAUAGUUUGAAUUUCUGGUUUUAGAGCUGUUCUUUCCACUUGGCUACCCAUCCAUUCAGUCCAUAUUGGUGUUAAAGAGAAAAACGGCAGGCCUGAAAUGGCGUCCCUUGUGCUAACGCCCAGGAUACCAAACCUGGAUUUAACACCUGACCUCACUGCAGUGUCGAGUUUCCGCAGGAGUGUGACCUUAAUCCACCAGGCUGGAAUUUCCUGACUAGCACCAGGGACGUCAUCUGCAUGAGAAAACCCCUGCUGUUCCCUUCCCUCCAAAAAGGCAAUGUCCAGAAAAUGUCUGGGCCUGAAACAAUCCUUUCUUUUCUUUUACUGACAUCUUGCCCCAGCCUCCUUCUGCCUAUAAAAACCUUCCAUUUUGGGGGCUGGCCCCGUGGCUGAGUGGUUAAGUUCCCGCACUCAGCUGCAGGUGGCCCAUGGUUUCGUUGGUUCAAAUCCUGGGCGCGGACAUGGCACUGCUCAUCAAACCACGCUGAGGCAGCGUCCCACAUGCCACAGCUAGAAGGACCCACAACUAAGAAUAUACAACUAUGUACCGGGGGGCUUUGGGGAGAAAAAGGAAAAAAAAUAAAAUCUUUAAAAAAAAAAAAAAAAACCUUCCA